rnacentral:rRNA from 1 species
CCUACGGGUGGCAGCAGUGGGGAAUAUUGCACACUGGAGGGAACUCUGAUGCAGCGACGCCGCGUGAGUGAAGAAGGAAUUCAUUAUGGAAAGCUCUAUCAGCAGGGAAGAAAGGGCCGGUACCUGAAACAGGAGGUCCGGCUAAAUACGUGCCAGCAGCCGCGGUAAUACGUAUGGAGCAAGCGUUAUCCGGAUUAACUGGGUGUAAAGGGAGAGUAGGUGGCAGAGCAAGUCCGAAGUGAAAACCCAAAGCUCAACUAUGGGAAUGCUUUAGAAACUGCUAAGCUCGAGUGCAGGAGAGGUAAGUGGAAUGCUUAGUGUAGCGGUGAAAUGCGUAGAUAUUAGGAGGAACACCAGUGGCGAAGGCGGCUUGCUGGACUGUAACUGACACUGAGGCUCGAAAGCGUGGGGAGCAAACAGGAUUAGAUACCCUUGUAGUC